CUUGCCUUGUAUUGCGCAGAGCCGCAAGGACGUGGAGGGGUCGCUGUUCGUCGUGAAGAGGAACACGCAGCCGAGGUUUCAGUUUAUCGUCAUGAACAGGCGGAACACGGAUAAUCUGGUGGAGGAUUUAUUAAGUGAUUUUGAAUACGAACUUCAACCUCCAUAUUUGUUGUACCGGAAUGCUGCACAAGAAGUAAAUGGUAUUUGGUUUUACAAUCAGCAGGACUGUGAUGCUGUAGCAAAUCUUUUUGGAAGGUAUGACUUUUCAUAUAUCAUAUGCUCAUGUUGGAAGCCUCCUUUUCAUGGCUCGGAUGUUUAUUGAAAACCAUUUGUGAGUGUUACUGGAUCAUACUAUUUUUUUGUAAAACUAGACUAAUCAUGUGCCAGUACCAUGACUAAGUUUCGAGAUCUUAUGUGUUUCAACUCUAGCCUAGCCCAACUUGUUUGGGACUUGUUGUUGUUGUUGUUGUUGUUGUUGACUAUCUGAUCUUGUCUACUUUAGAUUGGAUUCAGACCAGAAAUGCAUGCCCUAAAAGCUGCAACUAUCCAUGACGGACUCACGGCCUAACAAAUGGAAAUAAUGGUGUGGCUGGAUUGCAUGUUUGUAGAGACAAUAGGACUUUUGUGAUGCGAAAAUUUUGAAGUUUCUAAUGAAAACUGACGGACAAACUGUAGAAGUCAUUAUAUUUUACCUUUUUUUGUUUCUGCCGACAUAUACACAUAUUAGGGCAUCUCCAGUAGCUGCAAGAUGCUUGUUGGUAAAUUUGACAUGUAUGCAUCUUUGAUGACUUGUCAAGUAAUAAAUGAAGAGCGAGUGUGAGGUUGUAUGAAAAUGAUCCAACACCUUGUGCACAAGCUCCAAGGUAAAGAAAGAGAGCAAGCUUCCAUAUUCACUCACGUCCUAUUGUUCAACCAUUCAUACAACCACUGGAAUACUUGUAUGAUACAUUGUUGGUUGAUGACAUGGAUAUAUUUACCAGCAAACUAACCAACAAAUUGUUGGAGAUGCUCUUAGUGAUACAGUAACUGGUUCUGAUCUGAUCUUAUGGCAACAUGUAAACAUUAAACAGGUAGUACUGUGGCUUCCUCCUUUUUCUUAGGCAACCAGAAAUAGCUACACAGUUACUUAUGCCUCGGGAACAAACUUUUCUCGGUGGCAACCGCAGUUUUGCAUCCUAACGAGUGAAAAUUCCUUGACCAUGUUAACGGUUUGGAAAUUAAUAAAAUCUUGUGAAACUUUCUGCAUGUAAGGACUCUAGGAGCAUCAUGCUCUUAUAUUCAAUCGAAUGGGGCGUUACUAUCAUAUAAUUGGAAGUUUUCGAAAGGAUUAACAUGAUUACCUGCCCGGGUGUCAUUACCUUACCUCUGCACUGGACAAAAUAGAGGAGAAUCUUUUUCCUUUUUUAACAAUUCGUCCACUGUCUGCAAAUCAUGCUUCAUUAUUUCGCUUAGUUCAAAGCAUUAGCAUGUAUAACUAUUAGAUGUCUAACAUGGGUGUGAAUAAUUAGGAUUGAUUAAUCAUGAACCGAACUUUGUCUUGUUGAUGUCCAUGUAUCUUUAGGUUUUUUACUAGUAUUAUAUUUUGGCAUGUGGGUAAAAUUAUUAAAAUGAAAAUUUGUGAACAUGUUUCCUUGAGUUUUUUAAUUCCAUUUUCCUUGCAGGAUACUUAAUGCUUACGCCAGAGUACCUCCAAAAGCUAAAGUGCCCUCCACCAAAAGCGAGUUUGAGGAAUUGGAGGCUGUUCCUACGUCCGCUGCUAUAGAUGGCCCCCUUGAACCACCGCCAGCAUCCACUCUCAUUUCUGAUACUCCUGAUGAAUCACUUGCUAAUUACUUUGGUGGUGCUGCAAGCAUUGGGAGUGUAUCAAGUGGGUCAAUGGUUGGAAGAGCUCAUCCAUCCACUGAAACCACUGCGGCUUCCCACACGCCAUUGAUUAUGCCUUCUGCUGCCCAGUCGCACCAAAUACACCCUCCUUUUGGAGGUUCAUCAGCUCCACCACUGCCCCUCCAGGACACUAAUGCCCAUGCUAGCCAUUCAACAAAUCUUGUAACACCGGCAUUCUUUGCUCCUCCAUCAUCCUCUUCUGCAUCACUAGCUCCGCCGAUUUCAUCAAUGAUGCCGACAGCGCCACCUCUUCAUUCAACUUCAUCAUCUACUCAACAUCCUCAGUACGGGCAUGGCGCCCCUCUACUCCAACCUUUUCCACCACCUUCACCACCUCCAUCCUUCGCCCCUGCACACAACGACGGCUCUGUUAUUUCACGGGAUAAAGUUAAGGACGCCCUCCUGAGACUUGUUCAGAGUGACCAGUUCAUCGAUUUAAUUUACCGGGAGUUGCAGAAUGCACAUAUGUAGACUGCUUCCUAGGUGUCUUGUUGCUCGCUGCCGCGACAAGAGUGUUUCUGUUCUCUGUGAGUUUUGUACGCUGGUUCUGGAACUUCUGUAUAGCUUUGUAUUGAUGUGUUGAUGUAGAUUCUUUAUAGCUAUGGAUGGUAGUACUUAUGGUCUUCCUUGUUUACAAAUGACUAUGUCAAUGUCAUUACAUUUAUGUGUAAUUGGAAAAAAGGAGUUUGUAAGGAUGUUAUGAUAUCAUCAUUUUCGUGUGUUUUACUGAGCAAUCAUCUCGGUCAGCAUCAGGGUUUCUUGGAAUGCAAAUAUUAGUGUGAUUUACUGGACAGUUAUUAACUAUGCAUCAGAUUAUGAAGUAACUUUCUUUACCAAUUUAAGUUCUAUUGAAGCUUGGCAAAACCUUUGCUCCAGAGACCUUUUUAAGAGUUUCACCAACUAAGCUUCAAAAUUAGGAGUCCUACACUCCCAACUUUCAACGGUAUCUUCUCAAGUUCCCCUUUCUGAAAAUUAAUGCAAAGAAGAUAACUCUUGGCCCUGCGCUACAGUACAUUUACAUUGCGGCAGCGACCCUCUGUCCCUGUGUAACCUACUGGACGAACACGUAUUCACAUUCCUCGCACGUGUGAGCAAACCUUUACUACUAGUCGAUGCGCGCGUGCUCACCGGCACGUGAGCAUCACCAGGAACCCGACGAACGCCGCCGCUCCGACGCCGGAGCAGCAGAGGUCGACGAGCCCCUCCCGCCUCGCCUUCCACUCCUUCCGCGCGCUCUUCCCUUUCACCAACUCCCCGUACUGCCGCGCCGCCUGUGCCUCCGCCUCCGCGCCCCGGCCCUGCCUCGGGGCGGCCAUGGCCGCGGCGACCGCCGCCAGCCCGUCCCGCCCGCUGACGCCGCCGCCGUCACCGUCCUCCACGCACAGGCUGACCUCCCGGACGUGCCCAAACCGGUCGUCGCACGUGACGGCCGCGUCCAGGGCGACGCCGCCGAGCACCACGGUGAACCGCACCACGGUCUCUCCCGUGAGCCAGCUCCGGUCAACGGACACCGGCCGCCGGCUGGAGGCGUUGACCGCCCGGCCUGACGUCGGGUCGAGAAGCAGCCAGCUCAGCGUCAGCUCCGCCGGCGUGAUCGAGGACGCUGCCGAGAAGCCCUCCUGCAGGAGCGCGUCGACGCGGAACGGCGAGCCCAGGAACCACGCCGACGAGGCGUCCGUCUCCACCACGCGCGAUAUGAUGCAGACCCCCUUGUGGUGCAGGUCCACGGCGGAGACGAGCCGGCUGGGCAGGGCGGGCGCGACCGUGGCCGUGGCCGCCGCCGCCGCUGUCGCUGGGAACGGGAACGCGUCGGCGAAGAGCGCCCGGUGGAAGCCGUCACCGGUGCCGCGGCAGCAAGAAUUGUCGAGGAGGCCGGCGACCGACGGCCACAAGGCGAGGCAGAGUCCGCGCCAUGUGUCGGGGUCGGUGGCGAGGUCGUGGAAGCUGGAGCUCGCGCAGCCGAGCGCCGCCAGCGACGCGCCGUCGAGCCGGCGGAGCACGAGGGACAGCACGUCCGUGGGGAGGUCCUCGAUGACCGUCUCUGCCGCGCCGCCGCACGCCGGAGAAUCGUAGUUCAUCAUGCUCUCCUCAGUUUGACUACUCGCCGCCAUGGUGGACACACACGAAGCUCGCACCGGUGCAAUUCCUUUCGUCCUGUGCGACCUGUGAAUUGGUUAUGCACCUGUGAAUUGAGUAUGUUUAUAACUUUGUGUGUGUAGAGUAUAUAUAUACUCCUACUUAUAUAGUGAGUAAGGUGAGUGAUCACGGUCUGAAAGCGAGAGGUUCCUUUUGUACAACUGAUCAACUCUGAACUUGCUUGCGUUGCCCAGAAGCAAAGGCCAG
rnacentral:rRNA from 1 species